UUCUCCACCCUAUGGUUCUAUUUGUACAUGGACAUGGUAAGCUCUUUAGGAUAAGGAUCCUGUCUUCCUAUCUCUCUCUAAAGUACCUAACCACAGUAUUGGCAUUACAUAAAUAAUAGUAUUACCAUGCCAAGCAUGUGUACUGCAAAGAUAAGAAUACCAGACCAUCCUUAAGUCUCAAUGUCUGUGGAUUUGCAUCACAAUUCUACAGCAGCUGAAAGUUAUGCGAUUGGAUAUUCUAUGACAAUCCAUUCUGGACCCAGGAAGGUGAUGGGUGUUCAUGAAGAAUUACUGGCAAAUUAAAAGAUUUUCAACAGUGCAAGAACUGAGUUUAGUAUUACUGGUGCACAGCCACAGGGUCUUUUCUAUGGUGGAACCUCCUCUCAGACACAAAGAAGGGAAGAAACUCAAGUCAAAACAAACCAUGGAGCAGGCUCAAGAGAGGUUCAAGCUAGGAUGUUGCUGCUGAUUCUCCUCACUGACUGAAAACACCCCUUGACACCAGGCAGAAGGCAGGCUUCCAGGUAUUGGGCCCAGGAAAAGAAACCGGAUCCUAACAGACCUGAAAAAGGGGGAAAAAAACCUUCAUGUCCCAGAUAAGAAGGAACUUCAACUGCACAGGACAGUGGAUGAAAACCUCAGAAGAACUGAGGUAUGGAACACAGCAUCAAG